rnacentral:rRNA from 1 species
AUGACGAGCCGAGAUCUCUCACCGCCAGAUACCGGGAUGUUCAGCUUCAGUUCACCCCUUCCUCUUUCCUUCCAGCCGCCGUCGAGGUACUCGUAUAUAGCAGAGUCAGCAGUGAAUACAGCCUUCUCGUUCUCUUCGCCGGUUUCAACUGGGCCCUCUGACAUGGCAAAUUUCUUCGGUGCGUCUGCUGCAGUGGCGAGUGAUGGGGCAGAACUCCCAUUGUUGGUAGCACCAAUGUUGAAAGAAGGGAAUGAUGAGCCAUCACUCUUUAGCCCAAAUAGGGGAGCAUUUGAGCUGUCUUUAGAGCCCGAGCCAAAUGAAAAUGAUGAGCCUGAAAAUCCAGUUCCAGCCAGUCCUGUGAAAGCAUUUUGGCCACUUGACAGAUUGGUGAAGGAGAAAAGAGGUGUCGGCGAUGAUGACUGCCCUUUGUUAUCAGCAUCCUUCUGCUCAGAUGAUCCAUCCUUGGUUCCCGAUUCAGCUUCACCAUUUUUCUCAUCAUCAUCCUUGCUAACUUUAUCUUCACCUGCAGCUUCAUCCACUGCUUUCUUCUCUUCAGCAUCUCCAUCAUUUGUUUUGCCCUCGAUUUCAGAUGUCUUGCUGUUAUCUUCCUUGGGUUCUUCAACAACCACUUUGUCAUCACCAGUUCCAUCCACUGUAACUUCUAUCUUGCCAUCUGACUCAACAAGUUGA